GAUGAACGCUGGCGGCGUGCCUAAUACAUGCAAGUCGAGCGAACAGACGAGGAGCUUGCUCCUCUGACGUUAGCGCCGGACGGGUGAGUAACACGUGGAUAACCUACCUAUAAGACUGGGAUAACUUCGGGAAACCGGAGCUAAUACCGGAUAAUAUAUUGAACCGCAUGGUUCAAUCGUUAAAGUAGGUUUUUCUGUCACUUAUAGAUGGCUCCGGGCCGCAUUAGCUAGUUGGUAAGGUAACGGCUUACCAAGGCAACGAUGCGUAGCCGACCGGAGAGGGUGAUCGGCCAGACGGGAACAGAGAAACGGUCCAGACACCGACGGGAGGAAGCAGUAGGGAAUCUUACGCAAGGGGGGAAAGCCGAACGGAGCAAAGCCGCGUGAGUGAUGAAGGACUUCGGAUCGGAAAACUCUGUUAUUAGGGAAGAACAAAUGUGUAAGUAACUAUGCACGUCUUGACGGUACCUAAUCAGAAAGCCACGGCUAACUACGUG
rnacentral:rRNA from 1 species